GCCUUCGGGUUGUAAAGUACUUUUGGCAGAAAAAAAGAGGUAUCCCCUAAUACGGGAUACUGCUGACGGUAUCUGCAAAAUAAGCACCGGCUAACUACUUGCCAGCAGCCGCGGUAAUACGUAGGGUGCAAGCGUUAAUCGAAUUUACUGGGCGUAAAGCGUGUGUAGGCGGUUCGGAAAGAAAGAUGUGAAAUCCCAGGGGCUCAACCUUGAAACUGCAUUUUUAACUGCCGAGCUAGAGUAUGUCAAAGGGGGGGUAAAAUUCCACGUGUAGCAUGAAAUGCGUAGAUUGUGGGAGGAAUACCGAUGGCAAAGGCGCCCCCCUGGGAUAAUACUGACGCUCAGACACGAAACGUGGGGGGAGAAACAGGAUUAGAUACCCUGUUAGUCCACGCCCUAACACGAUGUCAACUGGCUGUGGGGCCGUUAGGCCUUGACUAGCGCAGCUAACGCGUGAAGUCGACCGCCUGGGGGAGUACGG
rnacentral:rRNA from 1 species